rnacentral:rRNA from 1 species
UACAUGGGGUGCAAACGUUGCUCGGAAUUAUUGGGCGUAAAGCGCACGUAGGUGGUCUGUUAUGUCAGAUGUGAAAGCCCACGGCUCAACCGUGGAGGGUCAUUGGAAACUGGGGAACUUGAGUGCAGAAGAGGAAAGUGGAAUUCCAAGUGUAGCGGUGAAAUGCGUAGAGAUUUGGAGGAACACCAGUGGCGAAGGCGACUUUCUGGUCUGUAACUGACACUGAGGCGCGAAAGCGUGGGGAGCGAACAGG